rnacentral:rRNA from 1 species
GACGAACGCUGGCGGCGUGCCUAACACAUGCAAGUCGAGCGGAGAUGAUGUGAGGAAGUUUUCGGAUGGAAUCACAUUAUUUUAGCGGCGGACGGGUGAGUAACGCGUGAGCGACCAACCUUGCACAGGGGGAUAACGGACCGAAAGGUUCACUAAUACCGCAUGAGACCACGGUGUUGCAUGACACAGGGGUCAAAGGAGCAAUCCGGUGCAAGACGGGCUCGCGUCCGAUUAGGUAGUUGGAGGGGUAACGGCCCACCAAGCCUAUGAUCGGUAGCCGACCUGAGAGGGUGAUCGGCCACAUUGGAACUGAGAUACGGUCCAAACUCCUACGGGAGGCAGCAGUGGGGAAUAUUGGGCAAUGGGGAAACCCUGACCCAGCAACGCCGCGUGAAGGAAGAAGGUUUUCGGAUUGUAAACUUCUGUCCUUGGUGAAGAGAAGAAGACGGUAGCCAAGGAGGAAGCCCCGGCUAACUACGUGCCAGCCGCCGCAGUAA